rnacentral:rRNA from 1 species
AUUGAACGCUGGCGGCAGGCCUAACACAUGCAAGUCGAGCGGUUGAAGGGUGCUUGCUCCUGGAUUCAGCGUCGGACGGGUGUGUAAUGCCUAGGAAUCUGCCUGGUAGUGGUUGAUAACGUCCGGAAACGGGCGCUCAUACCGCAUACGUCCUGAGGGAGAAAGUGGGGGUUCUUCGGACCUCUCGCUUUCAGAUGAGCCUAGGUCGGAUUAGCUAGUUGGUGGGGUAAAGGCCUACCAAGGCGACGAUCCGUAACUGGUCUGAGAGGAUGAUCAGUCACACUGGAAGUGAGACACGGACCAGAGGACGACGGGAGGGAGCAGUGGGGAAUAUUGGACAAUGGGCGAAAGGAUGAUACAGCAAGGCCGAGUGUGAGAAGAAGGUCUUCGGAUUGUAAAGCAAGUUAAGUUGGGAGGAAGGGCAGUAAGUUAAUACCUUGCUGUUUUGACGUUAACAACAGAAUAAGCACCGGCUAACUACGUG